rnacentral:siRNA from 1 species
GAUAUGGAACCUAACGAAUAUUGU